UUUUGAAGAUAAUUAUUUGAC
rnacentral:piRNA from 1 species